UACGAAGGGGGCUAGCGUUGCUCGGAAUCACUGGGCGUAAAGGGCGCGUAGGCGGCGUUUUUAAGUCGGGGGUGAAAGCCUGUGGCUCAACCACAGAAUGGCCUUCGAUACUGGGACGCUUGAGUAUGGUAGAGGUUGGUGGAACUGCGAGUGUAGAGGUGAAAUUCGUAGAUAUUCGCAAGAACACCAGUGGCGAAGGCGGCUCACUGGCCCGAUACUGACGCUGAUGCACGAAAGCGUGGGGGAGCAAACAGG
rnacentral:rRNA from 1 species